ACGGGAGGCAGCAGUGAGGAAUAUUGGACAAUGGGGGCAACCCUGAUCCAGCCAAACCGCGUGAGGGAUGAAGGUCCUACGGAUCGUAAACCUCUUUUAUGUGGGAAUAAUUGCCGGUAUGUAUACUGGUUUGAAGGUACCACUUGAAUAAGCAUCGGCUAACUCCGUGCCAGCAGCCGCGGUAAUACGGAGGAUGCAGGCGUUAUCCGGAUUUAUUAGGUUUAAAGGGUGCGCAGGCGGGACAUUAAGUCGGCGGUGAAAUACCGUGGCCCAACCACGGGGCUGCCGUCGAUACUGAUGACCUAGAGUGCGUGUGACGUAGGCGGAAUGUGACGUGUAGCGGUGAAAUGCUUAGAUAUGACGAAGAACUCCGAUUGGGAAGCCAGCUUACUGUAGCGCCACUGACGCUGAUGCUCGAAAGCGUGGGUAUCGAACAGGAUUAGAUACCCUGGUA
rnacentral:rRNA from 1 species